GUACUGUUGUCCUUACAACAUGAAAAUGGAUCAGUGUUUGCAAACUUUAUGGAGCUCCAGCAUCAAAGGUUUUACGUCAUGAACUUGGCCCUAUUAUCUCAUUCAACUUGAAAAGGCCAGACGGUUCUUGGUAUGGAUACCGUGAAGUUGAAAAACUAGCAUCUUUGUCAGGAAUUCAGUUACGGACAGGAUGUUUUUGCAACCCUGGUGCAUGUGCAAAAUAUCUUGGAUUGUCUCACAAUGAUCUUCUCUCAAAUAUUGAGGCUGGCCAUGUUUCCUGGGACAAUUAUGACAUAGUUCAUGGGAAGCCUAAUGGAGCUGUGAGAGUAUCCUUUUGCUACAUGUCAACAUACGAAGAUGCCAAGGUUAACUACUGCAUUUCAAUUUCAUAUAUUAAAUUUUAGUUGUGAAUUCCAAGUGAAUGUAUAAACAUAUUAGAAACUGUGAUUUCAAUUUUAGUAGGCUACUAGCUCAUUCUGCUCUUGUAGGGUGCAAUGAGCUAACAAUUUAAAAUACAUAUAAUAAAAAGUUCUGAAACAUGUUAGCUCUUCUAGUAUAUAUAUAUAUAUGAUAUUACCAAAAAAAUAAACAAAAAAAUAAAAAAAAACGAUACUAAUCAGCAUAUAGAUAAACAAUAACUAAAGUAUAGUAGAAAGAGCACAAUGAACUUGACAUUUGUUAGGAUUGAUUACUAAAUAUAGAAACUAAUAAAACUAAAAUUAUGUUA